UUAGGAAAUUUUGCCAAUGGGGGAAACCCUGAGCGAGUAACGCCGCGUGGAGGAUGACGGCCUUCGGGUUGUAAACUCCUUUUCUGUGGGACGAUGAUGACGGUACCACAGGAAUAAGCCCCGGCUAACUACGUGCCAGCAGCCGCGGUAAUACGUAGGGGGCGAGCGUUGUCCGGAAUUACUGGGCGUAAAGAGCGCGUAGGCGGCACUGUAAGUUCUGUGUGAAAGCCCCUGGCUCAACUGGGGAACGUCGCGGAAAACUGCAGAGCUGGAGUGUUGGAGAGGGAAGCGGAAGUCCCGGAGUAGGGGUGAAAUCCAUAGAGACCGGGCCGAACACCAGUGGCGAAGGCGGCUUCCUGGCCAACGACUGACGCUGAGGCGCGAAAGCGUGGGGAGCGAACGGGAUUAGAUACCCCCGUAGUCC
rnacentral:rRNA from 1 species